ensembl:lncRNA
GUGUCCGUAAUAACUGAAAAGAGAAGGGGUGGUGCAUUGAAUAACAGGGUGUGGCACCAGAUCACAAAGCGGUCCGGAGAAUGUAGACUGCACCGCUCCUGUAUGUUUUUGCAGGUUUGCAACGUUUAAAAGUUCAGGGGAAAGUAUAUGCCUGUCUUCUGGGGUUGCUUAAAACAACAGCCUUUUGAGGGAGUGUUGUUUCUGAAUAUUAGUGUUGAGGGCCAAUAAUGCUUACUAUCAUACAUUAUUCACCAUGUCUGUGGACACAUUUGUAAGCAGUCACAUGUUAAUAUAUCCCCCCCCCCCCCCCCGUGAUAAUAUCUCACUCUGAACUCAGUUCAAAACUUGAGAGCCCUGUUUCCGUUGACUCCCGAGCUGCCCUAGCCCAAGCUAAAUCGUACAAUGAAUGGUUUAUUCUAUAUGAUUUGUAUUCUGUCAAUUUCUCUCGCACCACCCGUAUCAGGAAACAUUUGCCUUGGAACCCCUUUGGUAAUAACUAUACAAUGUAAAAACAUUUCAACCGGAGAUGGAUAUUAUGAAUACCCCUGGUCUCUGCCUCCGGGUAAAGUGUGUAAAGAUCUUGAAGUCUACGCCGACAAUCAGCCGAUACUACUGGCCCAACAUCCUAACGCAACACUCCCUAAACUAACACAGUGUCGAAACCUGACUGUGAGAUGCAUCUACGAAAUGAAUGGCACUGUAAAUGUGGAUGAGAUGUGCAGGGAAUUUGUCACCGAUUCAGAUGCUUCCUCUUUAUCAGAGCCAGAAAGACCUAAACAACAGUUAAACAACACAAGUGAACAGACUGACGUGGACUCAGUGAAAAAUGAACCAUCACCCACGGAUCAAAGUACCCAGCCAGCUGCGUUUUGGAUUACUGUUGUUGGGCCGGUGGUGGUGUUGGCGGUGGUGGGCGCAGCGUGGUGGUGUGUACGAAAAAAGAAACCGAUGCCAACCCAGAACCAAGGACUGGAGUUAACUGAAAUGAACAGACCCGACGAUGGUGAUCAGACACCAUCAGGACAUGGGGACACGACUGAAGACGGGGCUCUCCCUGAGAAGACAACUGAGAAACCGAAGAGCAAUCACUGUUACGUGGAACUGAUGAGACGGAAAACCUGCUGGAAUGGAGAUUGUAAAGAUUGAGGGCGAGGUAUAGCCUGGGUAUACCCAUUUCAUUUUGCCCUGCUAGGCAGCCUGGAUUCCAUGGAUCCGAUGUUCGCUUCAGGGAGGGAACCAGGGCGAGGGGACAGCUAGACGAUGACGACGUCUUUGCCACACUCCAAAGCUUGUACUUUGUUCAUAUCUAUGGAUCCAACAUGGUUGCAGAUGCAAAGUUGCCUUUCGAUGCAGCCUUAGAUAGUGUUCUAAGUAGUUAAGAACGCAAGAUGGUUUAAUUGAUACGAUGGUUUAAUUGAUACGAUUGGCUAUGAGCUACGUACAAACGCAUUUGAUAGACAUUCGUAAACACUCUGGGCAUUCGUAAACCACGCCUUAAAUACGAGAAAAUUAAUGUGUGGUUCCCAGACCAAAUCUCAAUGUAGAUUGAGGUGAGGUCUGGUGUUAGCCAGGAUUGUUGAAGUAUGCAAUUAUAUGAAAAUAGUACAAUGGUAUAGGAGAGACUUAUAUUCACAUGAGAAAGAUAUUUAGCUUUCUAAGUUUAGAUUUAGCUUUCUGCUAAAUCUUAAGUACAUUGCACUUUCUAUAAUGCAUUCUUCAAGAUUUGCAUGUAAAUUAAAAAAAUAUGUAUUAUAAAGUUAAUGAGGGCUGGCAAAUGUCCAGUUGGAAAGUUGUAAAUAUAUACAAAGGAACUCAAACAAUUUGAGGGAGGGUGGGGGCUUGCAACAGUGAGAGACCAUGUUAGGAGUUACUCAAUCUUUGGGGUGGGAUGGGACAUUUUUGCGUAGGUAGAGCUUUCAGAAAUUACUGUGCAGGGUUUCAUUUCUGUUUACAUUGAAACACCUUCUUCAUGAAAUGCAUUCAGAGAUGGAAUUGCUGUUUGAACUUUGCUUACUGUGACUUGUGAGAGUCAGCCCACAGUGUGAAGUCUUACAGCCUGCCGUCUGAUACAGCCUUUUGUAUUUCUAUUUAUUUUAGAGGAGCUCUGGUAGUCUAGUUUUCCCAGCUUUAUUUUGUAGUUUAGUCUUGAUGUUGUUUUGGUAGUUUAAGAGCUACUGCUGGGUCCUACGGCCUACAGCGGUUGGCCCAGUAGUUCAUCCAACUUUUUGUUCUGUUUCAACCCAUGCACACGCUCUCACGCCACACUUCGUGCUCUUUCCUACAUUAUCAAUUGCUUAUGUCUAGAGCUGUCAGUUAAACGCGUUAUUAACGGCGUUAAUGCAAACCAAAUUUAACGGCGUUACAUUUUUUAUCGCGCGAUUAACGCAAUUAUUUUAUAAAAAAAAAAAAAAAAAACUUUUUUUUUUUUGUUUUUUCUUUGGCUCAAAACAAAGAAGCAGUAGCCUGACUGCUAUGUUCAAAUGACAUUUGUUCAAAGCAGUCGUUUAAUUGCACUAUAGGCUCUUUUUUUGUAUCGUCCUGUUUUGAUCAGUGUAUAUGCCAAUGUUGUUAUCAAUAAAAAAUCAUUUGCACAAGGCAAGCCGAUGCACUUCACCAUGUUGAUAAGAGAAUUAAAAUGAGAAGAAUUAUGGGACAAAAAAAUCAAGGGAUAUUUAGCAUAGAAAAAUAAUUUGCGAUUAAUCGCGAUUAAUUAGAGUUAACUAUGACAUUAAUGCGAUUAAUCACGAUUAAAUAUUUUAAUCGCUUGACAUGUUGAUCAAAAUGUAUUGGAAUGGUCUCUAUGGAAUAGUCUCACCCCCACAACAUUUAGG